AUUGAACGCUGGCGGCAGGCCUAACACAUGCAAGUCGGACGGUAGCACAGAGGAGCUUGCUCCUCGGGUGACGAGUGGCGGACGGGUGAGUAAUGUCUGGGGAUCUGCCCGAUAGAGGGGGAUAACCACUGGAAACGGUGGCUAAUACCGCAUACCGUCUUCGGACCAAAGUGGGGGACCUUCGGGCCUCACACCAUCGGAUGUGCCCAGAUGGGAUUAGCUAGUAGGUGGGGUAAUGGCUCACCUAGGCGACGAUCCCUAGCUGGUCUGAGAGGAUGACCAGCCACACUGGAAAUGAGACACGGUCCAGACUCCUACGGGAGGCAGCAGUGGGGAAUAUUGCACAAUGGGCGCAAGCCUGAUGCAGCCAUGCCGCGUGUAUGAAGAAGGCCUUCGGGUUGUAAAGUACUUUCAGCGGGGAGGAAGGCGAUGUGGUUAAUAACCGCAUCGAUUGACGUUACCCGCAGAAGAAGCACCGGCUAACUCCGUGCCAGCAGCCGCCGUAA
rnacentral:rRNA from 1 species